AAUCAUCCCAGCAGAUGGCCAUGGAAUUGAAAGGCUUCCUGACUUUGAAGUUGCUUCAUGGGUGGCAGCCACACCUGCUUUGCCUUGGGCAUGGGGAGACUGAGCCAGAAUUGGCCAGUUACUCUAUUUGGACCUAGAGUCUUCAGUGUCCAGUGGUUGCCAAGAGGAAAUGUAAUUACACCAGUAGAAUUGGAGGGUAAGAAACCUCCCCUCCCAGCCAGGCAUGAUCACCCACUCUUAGCAGAGUGAGUCACUUCAUCUACAUGGCUUAGAUAAUCAACAGUAAUCCUCAGUCAUUGCUGGUAAAUGAGGACAAGGGAAACAAUUGCUGACUCUUCACUCACCAGAUGUUUACAUUGCUUGCUUGGUGAUAGCAGAUGCUGGCGAGGAUGUGGAGAAAGAGGAACACUACUCCAUUGCUGGUGGGAUUGCAAGCUUGUACAACCUCUCUGGAAGUCAGUCUGGAGGUUCCUUAAAAAAUUGGACAUAAUACUACCAGAAGACCCAGCAAUACCUCUCCUGGGCAUAUACCCAGAAGAAGUUCCAACUGGUAAUAAGAACACAUGCUCCACUAUGUUCAUAGCAGCCUUAUUUAUAAUAGCCAGAAGCUGGAAAGAACCCAGAUGUCCCUCAACAGAAGAAUGGAUACACAAAAUGAG